UACGGAGGGUGCAAGCGUUGUCCGGAUUUACUGGGCGUAAAGGGCGCGUAGGCGGUCAGCACAAGUCAGUUGUGAAAUCUCCGGGCUUAACUCGGAAAGGUCAACUGAUACUGUGCGACUAGAGUGCAGAAGGGGCAACUGGAAUUCUCGGUGUAGCGGUGAAAUGCGUAGAUAUCGAGAGGAACACCUGCGGCGAAGGCGGGUUGCUGGGCUGACACUGACGCUGAGGCGCGAAAGCCAGGGGAGCGAACGGG
rnacentral:rRNA from 1 species